rnacentral:rRNA from 1 species
CCCUUAGAUGUCCUGGGCCGCACGCGCGCUACACUGAGUGUCUGAGAUACGAGUCUGCCUGGUCCGGCAAGGUCUAGGUAAUCGCUAAAAGACACAUCAUGCUUGGGAUAGAUUAUUGCAAAUAUUAAUCUUGAACGAGGAAUUCCUAGUAAGCGCAAGUCAACAGCUUGCGUUGAUUACGUCCCUGCCCUUUGUACACACCGCCCGUCGCUACUACUGAUUGGAUGUUUAAGCGAGGUUCUCGAACUGCUAGCGACUUAGCUUCGGUGAGGUCGCAGUGUGGGAAGUGAACCUAGCUUUGGUGUCUAGAGGAAGUAAAAGUCGUAGCA